GCAGAAGUGGUGGAAUGGCAGACACGCUGGUUUUAGGCACCAGUUCCCAGUGAGUGAGGGUUCAAGUCCCUUCUUCUGCACCA
rnacentral:tRNA from 2 species